AUUGAAACACCGGUUCCCGUACGAUCACCGAAGUUAUGAAACGUUGACCCUGGUCACUAUCUAGAUGGGUGACCGCUUGGGAAUAUCAGGAGCUGUAA